CGUCAUGACGCAGUCUGAUGCAGCCAUGCCGCGUGUAUGAAGAAGGCCUUCGGGUUGUAAGUACUUUCAUCGGGGAGGAAGGCAUUAAAGUUAAUACCCUUGCUCCUUGACGUUACCCGCAGAAGAAGCACCGGCUAACUCCGUGCCAGCAGCCGCGGUAAUA
rnacentral:rRNA from 1 species